UACGGGGGGGGCAAGCGUUGUUCGGAAUUACUGGGCGUAAAGGGCUCGUAGGCGGCCAACUAAGUCAGACGUGAAAUCCCUCGGCUUAACCGGGGAACUGCGUCCGAUACUGGAUGGCUUGAGUUUGGGAGAGGGAUGCGGAAUUCCAGGUGUAGCGGUGAAAUGCGUAGAUAUCUGGAGGAACACCGGUGGCGAAGGCGGCAUCCUGGACCAACACUGACGCUGAGGAGCGAAGGCCAGGGGAGCAAACGGG
rnacentral:rRNA from 1 species